AGUGAACGCUGGCGGUAGGCCUAACACAUGCAAGUAGAACGGCAGCACAGUAAGAGCUUGCUCUUACGGGUGGCGAGUGGCGGGCGGGUGAGGAAUACAUCGGAAUCUACUUUUUCGUGGGGGAUAACGUAGGGAAACUUACGCUAAUACCGCAUACGACCUACGGGUGAAAGCAGGGGAUCUUCGGACCUUGCGCGAUUGAAUGAGCCGAUGUCGGAUUAGCUAGUUGGCGGGGUAAAGGCCCACCAAGGCGACGAUCCGUAGCUGGUCUGAGAGGAUGAUCAGCCACACUGGAACUGAGACACGGUCCAGACUCCUACGGGAGGCAGCAGUGGGGAAUAUUGGACAAUGGGCGCAAGCCUGAUCCAGCCAUACCGCGUGGGUGAAGAAGGCCUUCGGGUUGUAAAGCCCUUUUGUUGGGAAAGAAAAGCAGCAAGUUAAUACCCCGCUGUUCUGACGGUACCCAAAGAAUAAGCACCGGCUAACUUCGUG
rnacentral:rRNA from 1 species